rnacentral:rRNA from 1 species
AUUGAACGCUGGCGGCAUGCCUUACACAUGCAAGUCGAACGGCAGCACGGGAGCUUGCUCCUGGUGGCGAGUGGCGAACGGGUGAGUAAUACAUCGGAACGUACCCUGAAGUGGGGGAUAACGUAGCGAAAGUUACGCUAAUACCGCAUAUUCUGUGAGCAGGAAAGCAGGGGAUCGCAAGACCUUGCGCUGAUUGAGCGGCCGAUGUCAGAUUAGCUAGUUGGUGAGGUAAAGGCUCACCAAGGCGACGAUCUGUAGCGGGUCUGAGAGGAUGAUCCGCCACACUGGAACUGAGACACGGUCCAGACUCCUACGGGAGGCAGCAGUGGGGAAUUUUGGACAAUGGGGGCAACCCUGAUCCAGCCAUGCCGCGUGAGUGAAGAAGGCCUUCGGGUUGUAAAGG